AUUAGCUCAACCAAAGACUGAAGGCAGGAAAAUAAAACAAAUAUUUAAAGUCAUAGAAGGAGACUGGCCCUGGCCUUGGCAGGUAUAGAAACUUAUAUCAUCUGCUCCUUACAAGAAUGCAGUUAGGUAGGCAUUGUUGAACUGAUGAAAAAACAAACUCACAAAGAGUAAGCAAAGGUAUAACACUCCAUUGCUAAUGCCAUUCUAAUAAACCUUUCUGUUUGAAAACAGGUGCAAGUAAGAAGAACACAUGAUCCCAACCUUAAUGUAGGAUGAUCUAUUUUCAUCAGGCAAAUCUCUUAGGCAUCUGGGCCAUGAUAUAGAACUCUCAAUACAUUGAGCAUUGUAUUUUACUUGAUCAAGAAAAAGUCCAAGACCCCCUAGUGAUGGAAUGUAAUGAACUAUGAGAAGACCCUUGCUCACAGAAAUCAACUCUAUGUAUGCAUUUCUUUUUAUUAGUACUCCAUUCCACUCACUGUUGGAUGCCAUCAAAGCAAAAAGCUGGGAGCUACAGAGCCAGGAUGUAAGGGACCGUGACAGAAAUUUUCCCCUUCUCUGGUGAAGCUCUUAUGGAGGGCAGACAGAGCUCUAAGAAGAUGUUACCAGAAGGUUGACUUGGCUGGUGGCAAGGAAGAACAAGAAGAGAAGUGAUGACGAAUGGAAGAAGCACACUUAAGGGACAAGGAGCUCCCCCAAACCAGAGAUAUUAAAGCAAUGAGAUUUAGACCAUCCAUGAACACCCCAAAUCUAUUUAUAUCUCAUAUUUCUAAUUUUGUUCCUCUCACCAAGAAGGUCCCUGUUAGUCCUCUUUGGAUUGAGUUUUUACACACACUUCCAGGCUGGGUUGAAGUCCAGUGCCCUCCACAGAGCUAUACCGGCCUCUUCACUACCCCACUGAGCUCUCUCUCCAUGUCUACUGACAAUACCAGUUCCCUGUACCUGUCAACAAGACACAAUUUCAGCCUACAUCAUGAUGUGGACUAGAGGAAAAAAUAACUUUCAGAUUUGAGAAAGGCAUUUGGAUCUAAUAAUGUGUUUUUACUUAAUUCUCUGAACUCCUGUUUGAAGCUGUUAUGAGCAUAUAAUGAGAACAUAUAUGCAAAGGGUCUAGUGUGGGUGGCUCUUAGUAUUAUUCUGUUUCCCAUGUUGAUCUUAUCUCCAGAAAUAGAUUAUUUAACAAAGACUAUGCCUUAUACUUCCCUGAACCAAUCCCUCCCAAGACUGAGGAGAAGCACAUGUAAGACCUCUAGACUAUAUUAAUUGAACUGACGAAAUAAACACUCAAAAAGCCAAGUCCAAGACAUUUCUACAAAACUAUUCUGGAAGAUAAUUAAAGAAAAAGAAAUAUGUGAUUUUUGUUCUGGACACUGGUAAAGAACUUUGAAAAACUCUUGAGAUUUUUGAGUGUUAAGAGUGUGUUUGUUAUGCUGAUUGUGUGAUUCAGGUUGAGACUCCUAGAUAGCUUCAGGAUAGGGGCUGGUCAAUAGAAAUUCUAAUCAAUUAUCAGGAAAUCUGAAUUCUGAGACUGCUUGACCUUCAGAGAGUGAAAGGGGACUAGAGAUUGAACUCAAUCCUGUGACCAGUAAUUUAAUCAAUUGUGCCUGUGAAAUGAGACCUCAAUAAAAAUUUUGGACACCAAGGUUCUCUAGGCCUUUCUGGUUGGUGCAAACAUUAAUAUACUGAACCAGUCAUUCCUUAUGGAAUCCAACCAGGUAUGGAUUCCAUAAGGAAUGACAAAGAAAUACUGAAAUCUCUACCCCUCUCCAGCCUUGUGUUAUGCAUUUCCACCCUUUGAUUAAUUUCCAGGUGUAUCCUUUCGUAAUAAAAUUGUAAUUCUUAAAUAUAGCACUCUUUAGGAAAUUUUGUGAGUUGUUCUGGUAGAUUUUUGAAUUGAAGUCAUUGUGAGAUCUCCCAUGUUUUUAGCCACUUUGCAUGGAAAUAAUAUUUAAAAUGGCUACAGUUUAGUCAAGUGAGAGCAAGGUUUCUCUGUGGGCCUCAGAGAGCUGCAUCUGAUAGGACACAGCUUAUCUCACAGAUAUAAUAAGUUCCUCAGUCUUUUACUUUCUGAUAAAGAAAUGCUGUUUGGAAAGAAUGGGCUUAUGAGACCCCAGGUAGUUUACAAUUCUGUGACUUCUGAUGACUUCAUUUUUAAAAGACUUACUACUUACUUAUAACCAGCUAAUAAUAACUAGGUAGCAUGUAUACAUUAAUGUAUGAACAGAACCUUAGCACCAAUCUGAACUCACUCAAAGCAAUGUGUAUGACUAACAAGGUACUUGAAAGUUGUUCAAAAUAAGUUACUUUACCUAUUGUUUUUGUAUUUUUCCCCCUAAUAGUCCAGUCCUUUUCUUCCGCCACAAAACACUUGUUUCUAAUCCUGAACCUCUGUCUCUUGAUUUGCAAUUCUAAUUCUGUACCUGAAUAAAAAUGAGCUUUGCUUUUA